UUCUGAACUGUUGGAAAACCCUUUGUAGUAUGUGUUUUGUGGAAAGAUUCAUUUAACAUUAAAAUCAUCUUCAAAUGAAAAUAAUAUGCUGUAAAAUCUGUUUCAUAGGUUUGGAUAAAUACCUCAGACAUUAUUUUGAUUGGUCUCCGAGAGUAUCAGGCAGAGUGGACAGUGAGAGAGAGAGACAGCGAGAAAGGUCUUCCUUUGCCGUUGGUUCACCCUCCAAUGGCCGCCGCUGCAGCCGGCGCACCGUGCUGAUCCGAUGGCAGGAGCCAGGAUCCAGGAUAACAAAGCAGACGUAAUUUUAAAAUACAACGCAGAUGAAGCUAGAAGUCUGAAGGCAUAUGGCGAGCUUCCUGAACAUGCUAAAAUCAAUGAAACCGAUACAUUUGGUCCUGGAGAUGAUGAUGAAAUCCAGUUUGAUGAUAUUGGAGAUGAUGAUGAAGACAUUGAUGAUAUCUAAAUUGAAUUCAGUUUUCAUUUUCUGAAGACAUUAACUGGGAAUUUUGACCAUCAACUUAAGAAGAAUAGAACUUUAUUUACCAUGAGUAUUGUUUAUUAAAACAAAUUGUCUUAAUUCCGUUUUUUUUUUAAUGUAUUUACUAUACUAUAUUUCUUUAAAAAUUGAUGUUGAACCAUCUUAGGUGACAUAUUAAUUCUUUAUUUUUAUAUAAUGAGACUUAGAAAUAAAACAUUUUUAAAAAGAGAAAGAAAUGCCUUUUCUACCAUUGACAGUCACAGUUGCAAGAAAUUGAUGUUUAAUCAGAAUUGAAAAUCAAAAUUGAAAGUCAUAGAUUUGUCUGGAAUAGUAUUUAACUAAUUUCUAUAGUCUAUGGACUUGUUCUGUAUCUUUCAGAAAUAUAUUUAUGGUCUCUAUAACAUUUAAGAAUGAUCAAAAUAUACUUUGGAAUGGUGUCAGCUUAA